CGCUUAUGCGUUGUUGGGUAGGGGAGCGUUCUGUAAGCCUGUGAAGGUGGCCUGUGAGGGUUGCUGGAGGUAUCAGAAGUGCGAAUGCUGACAUAAGUAACGAUAAAGCGGGUGAAAAGCCCGCUCGCCGGAAGACCAAGGGUUCCUGUCCAACGUUAAUCGGGGCAGGGUGAGUCGACCCCUAAGGCGAGGCCGAAAGGCGUAGUCGAUGGGAAACGGGUUAAUAUUCCCGUACUUGGUGUUACUGCGAAGGGGGGACGGAGAAGGCUAUGUUGGCCGGGCGACGGUUGUCCCGGUUUAAGCGUGUAGGUGUGUGUUCCAGGUAAAUCCGGUUCACUUUAACACUGAGGCGUGAUGACGAGGCACUACGGUGCUGAAGCAACAAAUGCCCUGCUUCCAGGAAAAGCCUCUAAGCAUCAGGUAACAUCAAAUCGUACCCCAAACCGACACAGGUGGUCAGGUAGAGAAUACCAAGGCGCUUGAGAGAACUCGGGUGAAGGAACUAGGCAAAAUGGUGCCGUAACUUCGGGAGAAGGCACGCUGACAUGUAGGUGAAGCGGUUUACCCGUGGAGCUGAAAUCAGUCGAAGAUACCAGCUGGCUGCAACUGUUUAUUAAAAACACAGCACUGUGCAAACACGAAAGUGGACGUAUACGGUGUGACGCCUGCCCGGUGCCGGAAGGUUAAUUGAUGGGGUCAGCGCAAGCGAAGCUCCUGAUCGAAGCCCCGGUAAACGGCGGCCGUAACUAUAACGGUCCUAAGGUAGCGAAAUUCCUUGUCNGACGCCUGCCCGGUGCCGGAAGGUUAAUUGAUGGGGUCAGCGCAAGCGAAGCUCCUGAUCGAAGCCCCGGUAAACGGCGGCCGUAACUAUAACGGUCCUAAGGUAGCGAAAUUCCUUGUCGGGUAAGUUCCGACCUGCACGAAUGGCGUAAUGAUGGCCAGGCUGUCUCCACCCGAGACUCAGUGAAAUUGAACUCGCUGUGAAGAUGCAGUGUACCCGCGGCAAGACGGAAAGACCCCGUGAACCUUUACUAUAGCUUGACACUGAACAUUGAGCCUUGAUGUGUAGGAUAGGUGGGAGGCUUUGAAGUGUGGACGCCAGUCUGCAUGGAGCCGACCUUGAAAUACCACCCUUUAAUGUUUGAUGUUCUAACGUGGACCCGU
rnacentral:rRNA from 1 species